rnacentral:lncRNA from 1 species
AUCAGCGGGAGGACCAAGCAGAAGCAGAAGGAGCCAGCAAGAGGCAGCACUCGGCACAGAAGUGCCCGCGGGAAGGAGAGAAGAGACAAGUGGGGUGUGCCGCUGCUUCAGAAAAGGGACGGGGGGCUUUCUCUUCCCGAGAUCGAAAGAUCGAAACCAGGAGGCGGGGGGAAGGGUGGACUGGGCGGAAGGGGCUCGCUCCCAGCCACCCUCCUGGAAUGGGGAGGGCCUGAGACUGGCAGCAGGAAGGGGCCAGGCUGUCCCCGAGGCCAGCCAGGCUGCCCAGGCCCAGCACGCACUCACUGGCAU